rnacentral:RNase_P_RNA from 2 species
GAAGUCGACCAGGCAGCCGCUGGGACCUCUCUUCGGGGAGGGCCGGGAGGAAAGUCCGGGCUCCAUAGAGCGGGAUGCCGGCUAACGGCCGGGCGCUAUAAGCCGAAAGGCGAAGGCGACGGAAAGUGCAACAGAGAGUAGACCGCCGAUGGCUUCCCUCGGGAAGAUCAGGCAAGGGUGAAACGGUGGGGUAAGAGCCCACCGCAGGACUGGCGACAGGACUGGCUCGGUAAACCCCAUCCGGAGCAAGACCAAAUAGGGAAGCAUUAGGCGUGGCUCGCGCUGCUUCCGGGUAGGUUGCUGGAGCGCACUGGUAACGGUGCGCCUAGAGGAAUGGCUGCCACGGCGCCGCAAGGCGUGCGACAGAACCCGGCUUAUCGGUCGGCUUCACAC